GAGCCUAGCUACAUGGCUAAGGUAUUUGUAAAUGUAUCUUAAGCUGGGACUUAUCUCUUGGAUCAUGGAGGUGGGAUGAAGAAGCAGACUUAACUUCUACAGAUGACCAGUGUACUCUGUGACAGGCAGGGCUUUAUGACAUCUUCACGCUAUGAGCAGGCAAGUAUGACUUGGAGGUAUAAGUAAGCAUCAUUUGCUUGUGUGAUGUGACCGCAUUGUAUGGCUUUGACUCCUAACAAGCCAUGUGUCCCUGACUGCUCACACAAGGGCUCUUGGGCAUGAAUGUGCUGCAUGCAUACCAACUCUCUAUUUCAUGCCACAAAUUGCUUUCUCUUUAUCCAUUAGUGUUUGCAGAAAGUUGGUUUUCAAAGAAGAUUCCAGGAAAGGUAUAUUAGAAUUCAGCCUACCUUAUCUUGUUUGAAAGUAACCAAACUUCGAAUAUAUGUGCUGUCAGGAAACAGUGGAGAGGUAAGGACAACAGACCACACUAGCCUCCAAUUUGAGCUCUGUUACUUAAUGAUUAUUUGAAGUUUGUAAUGUUUUUGUCAAACAUUGCUAAAUACUUAUUCAUUUUAAAAAUUAUAUUUAAUUAUGUAUUCUCUCCUCCAGUCCCCCUCCCUCAUCGUGUGUGUGUGUGUGUGUGUGUGUGUGUGUGUGUAUUGGUUGAAGGACAGCAUGUGAGAGUUGGUUCUCUCCCUCUACUGUGUGGGAUCAAAUUCAGGUCACCAAACUUGGCAGCAAGUGUCUUUCCCCAUUGAGCGAUCUUGGAAUACAUAAGCAUACUUUCUAUAUCUGGAAAAUUGUAGUAACAAAAACCUUUAUCUUGAAGUAUGUAUGAAGGUGGAACAAUAAAUAGUGUCUUGUGUGUGCUUUGGGGAGGUAUGCACACAGGUAUGGACUGCAUACCUGUGGAGGUCAACGGAGAAUGUCUACUGUCCUCUAUCACUCUCUACCUUAUUUUUCCAAUAUAGGGACUUGUACUGAUUCUGGAGCUAGGCUGUCAGCUAGCAAGCCCUGGUGACCCUCUGUCCCCAUAGCACUAGGAUUACAACCAUGUGUUAUGUCCCUGCCCAGCUUCUUAUGUGGGUACUAAAGGACUGAACUCAGAUUUCCUUGUUUUCCCAGAAAGUGGUCUUACCCACUGAGCCAUCUUUCUCGCUCCCUACAUGGAAGAUUUGAUUCACAAACAUUCUAACCUUAGCUCUCUUUCCUCCCAUCUGUUUUGUGUAUAUAAAGGCACUUGUGCGUUUUCCAGAAUAGUAAUCAUUUAAACAGUUGAAAUUAGAUAAAUAGCUGUAGACCAGUGUUUCAACCACUUAAAACAUUUGUAUGAGUGCUGUGGCAUAAUGGUGACCAUGGUAAAUCCUACAGGAAUUCAUGUCUGUAAAAUGUAUUGGUGCUAAUGUGGGCUUGGAAGUCAUCCAUUCUGGGUUGAAUUUCCUAACAAAUCCCAUUUGUUAAACUUGGGCUACCAAGAGCCAAGAACAGUAUCCAUUCCUAAGACUCCAUGCAGAAGUGAGAGUGGACUAAACUUGACAAAAGCAUUUGAUGAGAAUCAUAUCUUGCUAGUUUCGCUAAGGAUCUCGGAGUGAAACUUUGAUUUUGUAAGGUACUGUAUUAGAUAGAUUGCUGUGACCGUGACCAAAAACCAAAGUACCAUAUUUGUAGGUAACAUUCCCUGAAUUCUGUUAGGUUUUAUCACGUUCAAUGGCGAUUUAAGAUAAAUGGGAAAGGGCAAUACCAUAGAACAAGAGUAUUCCUCACACUCUGUCAGUACAAGCUUGCUGAAGGAUAGUUCCCAGCACCUUGAGGGUGUGGGCACACACAGAUCACAGUUUCAUUCUGAACUAUCUUUUUGGGAAUGCUUGUGCAGUGAGUAAGUACUCUUAAAAAAUCUGGAUAGCUUUGUUUUUCAGAACAGAAAGCUGGUUUGUUAAUAGCCCAGCCUAAUAAACUCUCUCUGAAACAAAGGCCGGACAAUUUUCUUAUAGCCCAAUAAGAUAAGUUGCAUACUCUUACUCCUGAGAUGACAUGGCUAAGGUACCACCCUACUCUGUUUGUGGUAUUCACAAUGCUUCCUUUCAUUACUUUCAUGUGGCAUGAUGACCUACUGUACAAAGCACGCUCAUGCUUGCCUGCUGUUCUUGGAGCAAGGAUGUCUUGUCUCCAGCCCCAGGCUGUGUCUUUGCUCAGAAAGCUGGUGCCCUGAAUUGCUUGCUUUCACACAGGGUGAAAACCUCAGAUCUCUCCUAGACCUUGAUAGGGAGGACGCUGAGCAAGAGUUUCCAAGCUGCGGCAAACUCAUCAUAGAGGCAGUGCCUCUAAGACAUUUGGAGGUAUCCAAUGGUAAUCCACGUUAAAAACAAAGUUCAAAGGAACUGGGGCUUUGUGAAUCAUGUGCUUGUGAAGGCAACACAUGGUCCCCAGCCCCAUUUCUGCUUCCUGUCUACCAUGAGGUGAGCAGUCUCCAUGGCCAUUCCUUUACCACAGUCCAGAAUCAAUAGUGCCAAAGACUGUGCGCUGGAAUCUCUGAGCCAAGGCAAAUCCUUCUUUAAUUCAUUCUCUUGAGUGUUUUGGUUAUAAUGGCACAAAUGUUAAGAACUGCAUAACCUCAGAGAGUUUUAUACAAAUUAAAUAUAUACAUGAUUGUGAAUGGUGCCUAGCCCAUAAGACACUAUAAAUAAUGAUUAUUACCAUGCACGCACAUUUUUCAUAUCAUAACUCUGAGGAUAAGAUUUAAAACAACCGUUAUUAGAUUUUUUUUCUUUCACU
rnacentral:lncRNA from 1 species